rnacentral:rRNA from 1 species
UACGUAGGUGGCAAGCGUUUGUCCGGAAUUAUUGGGCGUAAAGCGCGCGCAGGCGGCCUCUUAAGUCUGAUGUGAAAUCUUGCGGCUCAACCGCAAGCGGCCAUUGGAAACUGGGGGGGCUUGAGUACAGAAGAGGAGAGUGGAAUUCCACGUGUAGCGGUGAAAUGCGUAGAUAUGUGGAGGAACACCAGUGGCGAAGGCGACUCUCUGGUCUGUAACUGACGCUGAGGCGCGAAAGCGUGGGGAGCAAACAGG